rnacentral:tRNA from 2 species
GGCUCUGUGGCGCAAUGGAUAGCGCAUUGGACUUCUAAUUCAAAGGUUGUGGGUUCAAGUCCCACCAGAGUCG